AAAGAGGAUAAAAAGAGGAGAGAAAAAAAAAAAAAGGCAAAACAAAAAGCUCAACAGGAAACAAGAAGAGUGUGCAUGCAAUUUAACAUGACUGUCACAUUACGCUGUCUUAAGAAGUGAGAAUUAAGAGCCUGAAUUCAAUUCAGGAGAUGGUAGUGAAUGGAUGCAACAAUAAAAUCAUAAAAGGAGCUCCAUAAACAAAACUGAGGAUGAUUGAAGGAGGAACUGUUGGCGAGAGUUUAAAACCAUUGUUUCACAAAGGCCACUGUUUUCUUGAUUGCUUCAAGCUUGCAAAUUACUCAGUUCUGAAGAUCUAUUGUAAAGUCAACAGAAAGACACAGUGAAUAUGGACACAAGGCAGUUCUAGCAUAAGAGCUCAGAAGCAAGAUUUUCUCCCAGGUAUGGAUAGCAGCAAUGUUUCUCAGUAAUUGUAUUAGGAUGUGGCAUUGCCUGGACUCUCUGUAAAUAAGGCUGUGUUGACUAAUUUGCUGAAAAUAUUUCAAUUUUAGAAUAAAAUAUUGAACUUCAAGUACCGUGGCCUUUUU
rnacentral:lncRNA from 1 species